rnacentral:rRNA from 1 species
GACGAACGCUGGCGGCGUGCUUAACACAUGCAAGUCGAACGAAGUGGCGAACGGGUGAGUAACGCGUAAUCAACCUGCCCUUCAGAGGGGGACAACAGUUGGAAACGACUGCUAAUACCGCAUACUGAAGGAGGGGAUUGCGUCUGAUCAGCUAGUUGGGGGGGUAACGGCCUACCAAGGCGAAGAUCAGUAGCCGGGUUUGGGGGAAGAACGGCCACAUUGGGAGGGAGAAACGGGCCAGACUCCUACGGGAGGCAGCAGUGGGGAAUCUUCCGAAAUGGAAGAAAGUCUGACGGAGCAAAGCCGCCUGAGUGAUGACGGCCUUCGGGUUGGAAAGCUCUGUUAAUCGGGACGCGGUACCGGAAUAGAAAGCCACGGCUAACUACGUGCCAGCAGCCGCGGUAAUUC